GUGCCAGCAGCCGCGGUAAUACGGAGGAUGCAAGCGUUAUCCGGAUUUAUUGGGUUUAAAGGGUGCGUAGGCGGAUGCUAAGCGUGAGGUGAAAUCCCCGGGCUCAACCUGGGAACUGCCUCGCGAACUGGGUAUCUGGAAUGCCCCUGCCGUGGGAGGAAUGUGUGGUGUAGCGGUGAAAUGCAUAGAGAUCACACAGAACACCGAUUGCGAAGGCAUCUCACGAAGGGGUGAUUGACGCUGAGGCACGAAAGCGUGGGGAUCAAACAGGAUUAGAUACCCUGGUAGUCCACGCAGUAAACGAUGAUAACUAACCGCUGGGUAUUCGUAUUCAGUGGCCAAGCGAAAGCGAUAAGUUAUCCACCUGGGGAGUACGACCGCAAGGUUGAAACUCAAAGGAAUUGACGGGGGCCCGCACAAGCGGAGGAACAUGUGGUUUAAUUCGAUGAUACGCGAGGAACCUUACCCGGGCUCGAACGGCAGAGGAACAAUCCAGAGAUGGUGCGGCCCUUCGGGGCUUCUGUCGAGGUGCUGCAUGGUUGUCGUCAGCUCGUGCCGUGAGGUGUCGGCUCAAGUGCCAUAACGAGCGCAACCCUUGUCGUCAGUUACCAUCAAGUGAAGUUGGGGACUCUGGCGAGACUGCCACCGCAAGGUGAGAGGAAGGGGGGGAUGACGUCAAAUCAGCACGGCCCUUACGUCCGGGGCGACACACGUGUUACAAUGGGGGUUACAGAGGGGCACUACCUGGUGACAGGAUGGGAAUCUCGAAAAGCCCUCUCAGUCCGGAUCGGAGUCUGCAACUCGACUCCGUGAAGCUGGAUUCGCUAGUAAUCGCGCAUCAGCCAUGGCGCGGUGAAUACGUUCCCGGGCCUUGUACACACCGCCCGU
rnacentral:rRNA from 1 species